AGGCCGCAGAGAAUAGGCCCAAGCGACUGUUUACCAAAAACACAGGUUUCUGCUAAGUCGCAAGACGAUGUAUAGGAGCUGACGCCUGCCCGGUGCUGGAAGGUUAAGGGGAUCUGUUAGAGCAAUCGAAGCAGUGAACUUAAGCCCCAGUAAACGGCGGCCGUAACUAUAACGGUCCUAAGGUAGCGAAAUUCCUUGUCGGGUAAGUUCCGACCCGCACGAAAGGCGUAACGAUUUGGGCACUGUCUCAACAAUAGACUCGGUGAAAUUGUAAUCCCGGUGAAGAUGCCGGGUACCUGCGACAGGACGGAAAGACCCCAUGGAGCUUUACUGUAGCUUGACGUUGGGUCUUGGUACUACAUGUACAGGAUAGGUGGGAGACUAUGAAGCAUGGACGCCAGUCUGUGUGGAGUCAUCCUUGGGAUACCACCCUUGUAGUACUGGGAUCCUAACCAUAGGCCUUGAAUCAGGUCUUGGAACACCGUCAGGUGGGCAGUUUGACUGGGGCGGUCGCCUCCUAAAAAGUAACGGAGGCGCUCAAAGGUUUCCUCAGCACGGUCGGAAAUCGUGCGAAGAGUGUAAAGGCAAAAGGAAGCUUGAUUGCAAGACAUACAGGUCGAGCAAGGACGAAAGUCGGACUUAGUGAUCCGGUGGUACCGCAUGGAAGGGCCAUCGCUCAACGGAUAAAAGCUACCCUGGGGAUAACAGGCUUAUCUCCCCCAAGAGUCCACAUCGACGGGGAGGUUUGGCACCUCGAUGUCGGCUCAUCACAUCCUGGGGCUGUAGUAGGUCCCAAGGGUUGGGCUGUUCGCCCAUUAAAGUGGUACGCGAGCUGGGUUCAGAACGUCGUGAGACAGUUCGGUCCCUAUCCGUCGCAGGCGUAGGAAAUUUGAGAAGACCUGUCCUUAGUACGAGAGGACCGGGAUGGACGUACC
rnacentral:rRNA from 1 species